rnacentral:lncRNA from 1 species
GAGAGACUUCGAGCUUGAGAGAGGGAGGGGAGAGGAGAGGAGGGAGAAGGAAAUGACAGAGAGAGAGAGAGAAAGGAGAGAGAGAACGCAGAGGGAGGGAGGCAGGGAGGGAGACCAAACCCCCGCUUUACUGCGUUGAAAGCUUCUGAAUUUCAAGCAGAAAGUAGAAGGAGCUCCAAAGGCAGUGAGCGUCUUUCCUUGGGCUGCGUGUGCCGAGCGUAGACAAUGAAAAUCUUCAUCCCCCUCCCCCAUUCUACUAGGCUACAAGAUUCUUGUUUUCGUUCCUUCUCACCGGUGGAAGAUGUGUAAAAUCAAAGAUGUAGAGGUGUGUAGUGAUUUUUUUAAAAGCCAACUAACCACCGCACGGACUGCGACGCGGAUUACCCGAGCGCACGCCGGCUGGGCGCAUUCUGGGGUCUCUGCGCAAGACCAGCUCUCAGCUCUCUCUCCUUUCCUCGGACUCUGGAGCGGGAGCGGGCCUUUCCCUCGGGUCGACCACGCCGUAGGGGACGCCGUGAAAAGAGCCGUCGCGCCCGCUGCCUCCUGCCCGCUGCGCAGAGGGCUCCGCCCGUAGAGGGGUUGGGAACAAAGGAGAGGAGCUAAGAGGAUGCACCAAAGUAGCCGCGCCCUCCCUGCCUGGCGCUGUCCGCGGUGCUGACCGUGGCCCUUUUCUCUCUCCGUAAUCAAACUGGAAAAGCAAUAGGACCGUCCCGUCCCUACUCAAAAGAAGAGUAGGAUAUUAGUAUUCAUCCAAUUGCGCUGAUCUCCUGCAUCCACAUCUUGCGUAAUCCACAAAGCAGCUAUGGUCCAGGGCUGCAAAAUCGUCCUGCCUGAUUCCUUUAGAAUUCAUACUACCUCAGAGGAGCAAACCUAAUCCCCUCAGCCUAAUCCUACCUGUUUAGGAUCAUCUAAACUUGUCCUUCAGAAAGCUUGAUCAGUUUAAAAUUGCUUUCUAAAUAGAAAUGAAAUACGUGAUAUGAGAGAGGUUAAAAUACUGCUUAAAAAGGGAAACACUCAAUUUAGUAAUUCGGUUGCCUAGAUGAAAUCGAGUGGCUAUUGAUCCGUGAUGUUUCUAGAUUUUUAAGACUAUGUACUUCCUAUUUCUUUGGAAAAUAAUCAUCCAGUUUGAUGCCCAUUACAAAUUUUCCUGCUAUGAAAGAAAUUCUAUGCGCGGCAGUUUUGCAAUAAAACAACCCGGGCUUCGCAAUGGGAGAACUUCGGUGCGGCGUGCCGUGAGAGUCCUUUGACAAUCUCAGCUUUCAUCUAGGUCUGAAAUUAAAGCUUCUCGGAAUAAUUUAGGAACAGCUUGACCCGUUGAGAUACUCAAGGACAACCCUCCAGGGAAAUAGUAUGUUUCCUUCCUGGGAACAAGAUGCUAGCGCGGUGCACCGGGAGGUAUCUGGUGUCAACAAUGCCAGAGCGCCCUCUGCUGCCUCAAAGAGGCAGGACACCAGUUACAAAAGCCAGAUGGCACAGUGGCAAUAAGCGGAGGAAACAUUAAGCUCUUAGAAACGUUUAAUCUGUGAAAUUUAAAAGCUCUCAUCAUAUUCUACUUUUGAAAGGGCCACCUGAUUUUGAUUUUGAGCACUCCUUGGAUGUUAUCUUCUAUUCUGGAGGAUAAUGAAAAGUCCGUGUUUUGAAGUUUUCAGAUUAUUUCUGUAGUUAUAUUUCUCCACUCUUUCUCGAAUUUUAUAUGGAAAUACGAAAUUGCAAAUCUAAGUGAAAAACCUUUGUGUAAAACAGGUGAGUGGAGAAGA